rnacentral:siRNA from 1 species
CUCGUGAGUUCUUUAAGCUUCCUU